GACUCCAUGAAGCUGGAUUCGCUAGUAAUCGCGCAUCAGCCACGGCGCGGUGAAUACGUUCCCGGGCCUUGUACACACCGCCCGUCAAGCCAUGGAAGCCGGGAGUGCCUGAAGUGCGUGAGCGCAAGCAGCGCCCUAAGGUAAAACCGGUGACUGGGGCUAAGUCGUAACAAGGUAUC
rnacentral:rRNA from 1 species